rnacentral:lncRNA from 1 species
AAAUAACUCAACCUCGUGAGAUUAUUAAUUGACAGGGGUAGUUCUUUAAUUUUUGACCUGGAUAAAUCAAGCGCUUCUAACCCCUCAAUCACUUCUGAAAUCUCUGGAAACAUCUCAAGACUGGAGCAGCCAGAAAGAUCAAAGGUUUUGAGAGAUCUCAUACAAACUUUGCUGGGUAGAAUCUUAAGUUCCAUGCAUUUUGAUAGGUUCAAAUGACUCAACCCCGUGAGAUUAUUAAUUGACAGGGGCAGUUCUUUAAUUCUUGACCCGGAUAAAUCAAGCUUUUCUAACCCCUCAAUCACUUCUGAAAUCUCCGGAAACAUCUCAAGACUCCGGCAGCCAAAAAGACCAAAGGUUUUGAGAGAUCUCAUACAAACUUUGCUGGGUAGAAUCUUAAGUUGCCCGCACAAACUCAGAUCCAAUAAAACAAUUUUUGUAAGAGCCAAAAUCGACCCGUGAACCUCAACUAAGCGUGUACAACCUUGAACAAUUAGCCUCUC